GGUGCAGGUCGAAGAGGAAUUGGUAUUGCGAUGUUAAGGGAAGAUGAAGAUGAAUCACGCGUGCCCUUCUGUAGAAAUUUUUUACAAAAAUUACAAUUUAAAAUGUAUUGUUAAAUCAUAUUAGGGAUUUAGGGUUUAAUUAAAGUCAAUUUGGGAUUCAAUUUGGAGCGAAAUUGGCAGUCAUCAAGACACAGCUUUCUCCACAAUGGCAUAUGAUCGACCCAUCAUUCUUGUUCCAGCUUCCAUCUCCACGAUAGCUGACAAAGUGCAAAUGCUUUCUUCCACACUGAUUGCAAGUGGAUGACGAACAAGAAUGACCCAUGGACAUUUUUUCUUCUUCAGCUAUCGCACUUCCCUCUUUCGAAAAUUCACAAGCUUCCCAAUCUUCGUCACCAACAAACACAGAACAAUCCGCUCACUAAAUUUGCUUCUUCAGGUUUCGCACUUCCCCCUUUCGAAAACCCAAUUCCUCUCAACUUAAUGAAAAAGCCAAUAUUUAACUUCAUUUUAAACUCAUUUAACAAUAUAUUUUAAAUUGUAAUUUUUGUAAAAAGCCACGUUUCAUCAGAUGCAUGACACGUUUCAUAACUGCAAAGGCCACCUGUGCAAAUGUUAACACCCCAUCCUCUGUGCUGGCCAAAUAUUUGACGCUGUUAAAUUUUUUUAACGGAAAGGGUCAAUUUCAUUCAAAUUGGCUCUUUUGAGGACCAAAUUGGGAGUUUUAAUAAAAGAGGGAUGAAAUUGGGAAAGCGCCCCAAAAAUAGGGACGAUUAAAGGGUUUAAACCUACAUAUUAUCUCAAAAUAAUUUACAAUGUUUCCUUAAUUAUGAAAUUACUUGUUAAAUUAUUCAUUUUUAUAGAAUGCUUGCUCCUAACCUCACCUCACUACCCAAUUUCCUUGCUGGUUAUAUAACUAGCUUAAGAACUCUAUAUUUUUCCCAAUCCUUCUCGUACCCCAAUUGGUCACCGGAGAGAGAACAGAUGUCUAACGCAUCAAACUCACCUUCGACACCAACACAUAUGACUAGUCACAACUGACUGGACCAGGCCAAGGCUGCUCUAUGAUCAGGGAUGUGCGACUCUGGUUUUUAGGUUCUCUCUAUCCUACCAACAGAGAAGGUUCCCAACAAGUCCCAAGUAUUUUUAUUUGAUUUAAUCAACUAUCCUUUUUUUUUUUUUUCUAAUUCCCAAAGUUAUACACCCCUCUCACAAAACCUGAGGCUACACUCAACCCAUAAUUUCCCAUCAAAUCAGUAUAUCACAAUCAAACAUAGAGAAUGAACCAAAGGUUCAGAACAUUCCAAGACCAAAUACUUAAAACAUAGACAAUUAAAUAUCAAAUAAUAUAUCACAGUUAAAUUUAACAUGCAUAGAGCAUUAAAACAGAGUUAACAGUAUACAAACGCAAUUCAACAUAUUUUCUCAUAAAUUCAGGAAUUAAUCAGAAUAACAAAAUACUUAUAUAGUUAGCUCCCCUUACCUAGAAAUAAACAGCAGCAAGCUCAACCCAAGCUUUUAGAGUGCCCCCAUCAGUUAGGACACAAAGGAAGUUAGGACACAAAGGAACUUACGGAUAAUCAAACGAG
rnacentral:lncRNA from 1 species